rnacentral:rRNA from 1 species
CAGUAGCCACGGUAAUACGAAGGGUGCAAGCGUUACUCGGAAUUACUGGGCGUAAAGCGUGCGUAGGUGGUGGUUUAAGUCCGUUGUGAAAGCCCUGGGCUCAACCUGGGAAUUGCAGUGGAUACUGGACCACUAGAGUGUGGUAGAGGAUAGUGGAAUUUCCGGUGUAGCAGUGAAAUGCGUAGAGAUCGGAAGGAACAUCUGUGGCGAAGGCGACUAUCUGGGCCAACACUGACACUGAGGCACGAAAGCGUGGGGAGCAAACAGGAUUAGAUACCCCCGUAGUCCCUGUCUCUUAUAC